UUCACUUCACCUUGAAAAAUGAUCUUCUUACAAGCUGACCAAAUACUCACUAGGCAAAUGAGAUUUUUCACAUUCUUCAAUUUUCUCCAUAUGUUCAAAGAUUUUAAACAAAAUAAAGUACUCAUGAUCAGCGUCGACACAAACCUCAUCCACUCAAAGACUUUCAUCCAAAUAGUCUUUGUAACAUCACAAUCAAAAAAAUGAAUGGGAACAACUUUCAAGCUCUUUCAAGCAUAAAACACAAGAUGAACUGAAGCUAGAAUUUAAAGUACCUUUUUCAAUAAUUCAUCGCGAGUCGGCAACCUCGAUAACAAAAGUUUCCAAAAAUAAAUAAAUUAGAAGGUACCUUAUUUUUCGAAAGUGAUUGUAAAGCUUUAAGCAAAGGUGAGUCUAAUGUUUCAUUGAAGUUGUUACGGUUAAGAGCAUUAUAACAACUCAUAACCGUAAAACUAUGUGUUGUGUAUGCAAUCCAAAUCCAUCGAUCACACACGUUAGGAUCAGGAUGUAUCGCACCAAGAAUAUCAUGAAACUCACUAAUUUAAUGUGUUACAAAAGUGGAAUUGGUUGCCACAUUGAUAUCAUCUAACUCCC
rnacentral:lncRNA from 1 species